AUUGAACGCUGGCGGCAGGCCUAACACAUGCAAGUCGAACGAGUGGCGGACGGGUGAGUAAUGUCUGGGAAACUGCCUGCUGGAGGGGGAUAACUACUGGAAACGGUAGCUAAUACCGCAUACCAUCAGAUGUGCCCAGAUGGGAUUAGCUCGUUGGUGGGGUAACGGCUCACCAAGGCGACGCUCCCUAGCUGGUCUGAGGGGAUGACCAGGGACACGGGAACUGAGACACGGUGCAGAACCCGACGGGAGGCAGGAGUGGGGAAUAGAGCACAAUGGGCGCGAGCCGGAUGCAGCCAUGGCGGGGGUAGGAAGGAGGGCGUCGGGUUGUAAAGUACUUUCAGCGGGGAGGCGUUAAUCGCAGAAGAAAGACCGGCUAAGUCCGAGGCAGCAGCCGCGGUAAUAC
rnacentral:rRNA from 1 species